UACGUAGGCAGCAAGCGUUGUUCGGAAUUACUGGGCGUAAAGGGCGCGCAGGCGGCCGAUCAAGUCAGAUGUGAAAGCCCCGGGCUCAACCUGGGAAUAGCAUUUGGGACUGGUCGGCUAGAGUUCGGGAGAGGAGAGUGGAAUUCCCAGUGUAGAGGUGAAAUUCGUAGAUAUUGGGAAGAACACCGGUGGCGAAGGCGGCUCUCUGGACCGAUACUGACGCUGAGGCGCGAAACGUGGGGAGCAAACAGGGAUUAAGAA
rnacentral:rRNA from 1 species